CACGUAGGGGACGAGCGUUGUCCGGAUCCAUUGGGCGUAAAGCGCGCGUAGGCGGCUCGGAAAGUCGGUCGUGAAAUGCCGGGGCUCAACCCCGGGACUGCGUCCGAUACUCCCGAGCUGGAGGCAGGUAGGGGAGAUCGGAAUUCCUGGUGUAGCGGUGAAAUGCGCAGAUAUCAGGAGGAACACCGGUGGCGAAGGCGGGUCUCUGGGCAACAACUGACGCUGAGGAGCGAAAGCGUGGGGAGCGAACAGG
rnacentral:rRNA from 1 species